CAAACGUCUGUGUGACAAAGAAAGAGAUAGAGGGAUAGACAGGGAAAGAGAGAGAUAGAAGGAUAGAUAGACAGAUAGAUAAAAAAAAGGACAAAAUUGUAGAUUCAUAGGCCAAAUAUAUGUUUUUUAGUUAUCUUUUUCCAUAUUGAAUCAAACGGCCAUAAGACCAUUGAAGAGUUUAGGCUAAAAGUUCUCAGCAUAUCCGGAAAUCCUCAAAUCUAAUACGGAUUUUUCUUCCAGAAUAUGCCUUCCCUAAGUGAUAUUGAAUUAAACAAAGAAUAUCUUCGGACUAAACCCGCAAUAUUGAAAUUAGCUGAAGUGUUUAUAUCACUUUGCUGUUUUAUUUCGGCAGUUGUUAAAUAUGCCUUAUGGAAUGAAUUUGGUACUGGAGCAUCAUUUGUAGCGUUUGCUUCAUUCCUUAGCUUCGUUGGUAGUGUUGCCCUGUUCCUAUUGAAUUUAUUUGGAGCUAUUGCAGUUAUACGUAGAAAAUUUGCCUUUUAUACUGUUCUAUGCGAACUUGGAUACUAUGUCGUUCUACUUAUAUUUGUGUUUGUGGCAGCCAUUUUAAGUUCCAAAAAUGCCAAACUGCAUUCAGCUAUUGGAGCGGCUACUUUCUUUUCGUGGGUUCUGUUUGUUCUAGUUGCGGCUCAAUUAGCAUUUCAAGCAAUCCUCUUUAAAGCUAUCUACGAAGAAAGAAAGAAAAAACCGACCGGUGACGGUGAGGCGAACAAUGAAAAUAGGGAAGACGCUAAAAAAUUAAAACCUUCUUCAAAUCAAACGUCUUCCGCCAAUACCCAAAUGUCAGCUGGUGAAAGUACAUCAGUGCCUUUGGAAGCGGUUCCUGAAAAACCGAAAGAAGAGAGGGUUAUACAAUAUAGCGUUGCGGACAAUUUGGAUGUAGGGGGAGACGGAAAUUGGGAAGUCUUAUAAGUCAAAGUUGUUUACAAUAAUCAAAAGUAAUAUUAGAUAUCUUUUUCUCUUCCAACCUCUUUGCCUUCCCAACGAAAAAAGAACUGAAAAAGAUUCCUUGAUUAUUUCCUCCCUCGAUAGCCAUUCUUCGCUCCCCCUCUAACUUUUCUGCAAGCAGGAGGAAGUCGACUAAUAUAUAUAUCUAUGUCUAUAUAUAUAUAUAUAUAUAUAUAUAU
rnacentral:misc_RNA from 1 species